GGGGCAGUGGCGGAAUGGCAGACGCAGGUGACUUAAAAUCUCCCGCCUCCGGGCGUGUGGGUUCGAAUCCCACCUGCCCCA
rnacentral:tRNA from 2 species